CAAGUAUGCAUCGAAACGGGAGCCGGAUUCUGCUGCGACUGAGGAUGGCAAUACCGACAUGAAGUAAAGAGGACGGCACCAGUGUAAAGCAACACACUACACACACUAAAGAGAAGCUACUGCCUGCUACAACCAGGUCAUCGUGUGGACUUUUGCUGCUACUACAAGAGUCUGCACCAAGCACAUCUUGGCACUCAUCACAGGAGCCCUCAUAUAUCUACACCAACAGGAAGGGGCUGGAGCCGAACUGAAGCCGAAAGAAGCAGGUCCAGAAGUAUUUGGAUGAGAUACUGUGUUAGUAAGUCUACGUAGGACUGUAUCAAGACUGAAAAGCGCCUCAGCCAUCAUUCCACCAGCACGCAUAAUGGCAGAGUCAUCUAGGUACCUCAACAAAAGAAAUUCUUCGUGUUCAGAUGCGCCUGCAACCUCUGAACAAGCAUGGGCGAUGCUGGCCAAAAGAGUUCCAUUAGUUUGCCCUUCCUUAGUUAGCUUCCUGGCCUUGUCAAAUUCAAUUUGUGCCAAGUAUAAAUUUUUUCUAUGAAUGCAAGCUUUUUCAUUCCCCAUUCUUGCUAGAUAUCAUUCUUCCUUAUCCAAACAUAAAGGUGAACUGAUUUUUUGCUCAUACUUAAGGCCCGUCAUUGUCUAUUAGCAUAACAUCUUUGUAGCAGUAUUCUCUACUGUACGUUGCCAUGUUAAAUUCCUCUCCUGAAAUAGCAGAUGCCGCAUCGGCAUGUGACUUGCAUUACCCUUUGCACCGCGUGCUAUGUAGCAUUUCACUUUUCUUAAUGUUAUUGGCCUUCACUGCUUGCAGAGCCGAGUGGCUUGCUGAAUGCAAGCUUUCUCAUUCCCAUAUUUAAUUCUUGGUCUCGUUCAAAACUGCUCUUCUUGCUCAAUAGCCUGGGUUUUUGUGCAAGCUACACUGAAGUGGUUGAUUGCAGAAUCUGGUUGCAGAAACUUGGUCGUGGUCGCUGUGUUACGUUUUUCGGAUUUGGGGGGCCUGGUAAGUUGCAUUGGGAAGCAGUCUCUCGAGGUAAGCGCCUGCUCCUGCAGUCCGUACAACGACAUAGACUCCCAAUUUACACGCACCUUGAUUGGUGCUCCCCAUUCCGUCCUUUCCUGCUGCAGCCGUGUGCAAAUUUUGCUUGUGACCUUCGUUGGCCGUGAUUUGGCGUCAACAGAGAGCAGCAUACAUGUUUACAUGGUCCGAAGUGUAUGAAGUUGAUAGCCACAUGGGUGGAAAGGCCCACAGAAGUGGCUGCUGAAGGUGAUGCCCAAGAAACCGACUUGUCCAUAUUGAGACAAAGUGGGGCACCAAGUGUGAGCCACAUAUUAGCGGCCCCCGAA